GACUGUCAAGGUAAGUCGCCGCCAGCGACGGGGCAGACGGGACCCGCGCUAAUCCCCCAAGGAAGAGAUCCCCCUCAAGGCCGCCCUCACCGAGCGCCCCAGAGGCUCCGUCCCUUCAGGGCGGGCAUCUUCCCCCUCGCAUCUCUCCCCUCAUGGCGGGCGGCCCCAAGUCGGCACCGUCCGCGGAGUUUGUAUGAUACAGUGGCGUAUGGGUGGAGGUCCCUCCCAGCGGAAAAUGCCAGUGCUCCAUAUGGCACGUCUGGAGUCCUCUGUCCCCAGUGAGCCGCACGCUGGUCUUUGCGGCCUGUCUGCUUUUCUGAAGAGGCUGCCGCUCUAUGGCCAUAUGCAUAAACUACAGGUUUAGUUCCACAAUAAAUUGUUUUUGAGGAGUUUCUGGGAAUGUGCGAUAGAAUAUCUGGGCUUCGUGUUCUGCAAUGAGAAUAUGAUUACUUUAAAGAGGAUAAAGGAAAAGACUACCAUUUCAC